UUCCUCUAUGCGUUGGGGUUCAUCUAUUCAACCCCUCUUCACUCCCUUUCUUCUCAUCCCCCCCCCCCCUUCCUCCAUGGUAGCACAGUUGGCUUCCUAAAGCCACUGCCAUAUGCCAUUUUUCUCUGAUUUGAACUGAGCAGCCCAAGCUAACAUCGCCUCUGGACUCUCAUCUCUCCGCCAAUCUCCAGAUUCAAAUCUCUUAAGCUCUUCUUUGCUGCCCAUUUGUAGGCGAGCGCGGGAGUUGAUGCUCGCCAACUCAAGCUGGCGUUGAUACGGGUGCAACAAUUUGAACUAUACUGAUUUUUGACGAUAUCCAUAAAAAUCAUCGCUUUAAUACCCAUUCCGUUCGCUCUUAUUUUAUUUGCUCGCGGAGGAAUUGAUGGGUAAGAGAGUUAGAAACAAGAGACAAGGUUCUGCUAAGGAAAAGCGUGAUGCUACACAUACCCCAAAAAAGGUUGUCCAAUCAUGCAACCCAACUGUUGCACCUGUCAAUGAUGCAGUUUCACUUGUUGAAGAGAUAAAAUCCUGCCCUCAUCUCAAAAAGAGUGUUAAUUUAACUAAAUUAUCUGUAAAGAUUGGACCUUCUAGAUCCAUAGGCAUGGCAUGUGAAGAUUGUAGGGAAAGUGCCACAGAUCGGAGGGGAAAUAAAAAAAAAGGUAAACAUGCGAGUAAAAAAGGCACUGCUUCAGAAGAUUUGAAACCUGAGUCAAAGGCUAUAUGGAUUUGUCUAGAGUGUGGUCGAUAUACCUGUGGAGGUGCUGGGCUUCCAGCAACACCUCAAUGCCAUGCAAUCAAGCACUCCAGGCAAAGUAGGCACCCCUUGGUGGUCAAUUCUGAAAAGCCCCAGCUGUGCUGGUGUUUUGUUUGUGACAUGUUUAUCCCUGUUGAGAAAACUGAACAGAAUGAUGAAAAAAACCACGUUCUUUCUGAUGUUGUCACACUGUUGAAGGCACGACCAUCAGACCAAUCAUUAGCAGAUGUUGAAGAUUUGUGGUUUGGGAAUGGCAGCAUCACUGCUGAAAUUAAAUCAGGAGCUUUGCUGACAAGUGAUUCAUACAGGAAAGCAGGUUACAUAGUCAGAGGCAUGAGUAAUCUUGGUAAUACUUGCUUCUUUAAUUCAAUCAUGCAAAAUCUCCUAGCUAUGAGUAAGUUGCGAGAUAACUUUCUAAAGCUAGAUGCUCCUGCUGGGCCUUUGACUAGUUCCUUGAAGAAGUUAUUUGUUGAAACAAACCCAGACUCGGGAUUGAAAAGCAUUAUAAAUCCUAGAUCAUUUUUUUGCUGUGUAUGCUCAAAGUCUCCCCAAUUUCGAGGAUAUCAGCAGCAUGACAGUCAUGAAUUAUUGUGUUGCUUACUAGAGGGGCUGGGUUCUGAAGAACUAGCUGCAAGAAAACAGAAGGAUGCUCCUGAGAAAGAUGGAAUCCUUUCCAAUGUACCUACUUUAGUGGAUGCUCUGUUUGGGGGUCAAUUGUCAAGUACUGUAUGUUGUGUUGAAUGUGGGCAUGCCUCAGUUGUGCACGAGCCUUUUCUAGAUCUCUCACUGCCCGUUCCUUCUAAAAAAUCUCCACCUAAGAAAGCCCCAUUAGCAUCUCGAUCCAAGAAAGCAAAAUUUCCGCCAAAGAAAGGUGGAAAGGCUCGGGUGAAAGUCAGCAGAGAUGUCGGUCCCUUGCCUGCUCAAAGCUUAGCAACCAAAAUAUCAAAUGAUCAAUCAUCCUGCCCUGUGCAGUCUAACAUAUCAUUUGAAGAAGAGGUGGUGGCUUCUUCUGGGGAAUCUACGGUAUUUGGUCCUGUGAAUAAAAGCACCCCAUCUGAUUAUGAGGUCUCAAGUUCACCCAAUUUCCUAACUGCUCAAAACUCUGACCAUACUCAAGUCCUUGAGAAUGGUACGGAGAAAGCAUCAAAUUCAUCAGGUGAUUUUACAUGGUUGGAUUAUGUGGAAGCAGGAACCAUGACAGAUGAAAGUGGUUUCUUUUCCCAGAAUAAGGAUGUUGCAGUGAUACAGGAUAAUGAUAGCAAGGAGGAACUCUUAAAUGAAUAUCCUGUGCAAACUAGCUGUGAAUCUAGUAGUCAGAUUUGUUUCCCUGAUGAGAUGCAAAACCUUAGGCCAGAUUCUUCUUUAAGGAAUGGGUGGGAAGAUGAGGUUCCAUUACAAGUUGAAGAUACAAAAGUGCUGUUGCUUCCAUAUAAAGAAGAAAGUUCUCUUACAAGGGAGAUCACGGGGAGAGAUGGUGAAGCCUCCUCAACAGUUUUGGGUUGUGGGCAAGAAGACUUGGGAUUUGAAGGCUUUGGUGACUUAUUUGAUGAGCCUGAGGUUGUUGCAGGCCCCGCUCCUAGACCAGUAAAUAAUGAGGUUGGAGUUAAUGCUGGAAACAGCAGUGAGUCCGAUCCAGAUGAAGUAGAUGAUACAGAUUCACCAGUCUCUGUAGAUAGUUGCUUGGCUCAUUUUAUAAAACCCGAGCUUCUCUCAAAUGAAAAUGCGUGGCAUUGUGAGAACUGUUCAAAAAUUCUGCAUCGUGAGAAAGUGGAAGCAAAAACGCAGAAAAACAGGGUAUCCAAUGGAGAAGAGACUGUACGCAAUGCUGACCCCCAGCAUACAACUAACUCUUGUUAUACUAUGGUCGGAACAGGUAAUGGUAAUGUUAAAAAUGACCAAGUUAAAGACAGUUUGGUUUCAGAUGUUAAAGAUUGCAGAGAGUUAGAAAAUGGUCAAACGGAUGAGUUGAAUACAGUCAUUAAUAAGGGGGAAGAUGAGACGUUUAAGGAGAAAGAUAUAUAUGAUGAUGAAUCUUCCGGUUUUUGCCAAGUUCACAAAGAAGAAAAUGGUCUAGCUGCUGAUUCUUGUAGUGUACAGCAUGCAACUGGAGAUAUACAGGAAAGAAAUUCUCAGUUGCUGAAUCAUGAAAACAAUGACUCAAGAGUCACUAAAGAUGAAGAGGUGGAUACCAAAAGCGUGAAAGUGAAGAGGAAUGCAACUAGGAGCAUUCUUAUUUAUAAAGCACCUCCUGUUCUCACUAUUCAUUUGAAGAGGUUCAGCCAAGACAUUCGAGGUCGCUUAAGUAAACUAAGUGGCCAUGUCAGUUUCAAAGAAACUAUUGAUCUCAGACCAUAUAUGGAUCCAAGUGCACUAUGUCGAGUCUCGGGUGAUUUAAUAUCUUGGAUAAAUGGAUAGAGGAGAAAGAGAUGAAAGAAGGAAACAUAGAAAGAAACGUUAUCACUCAUUGUCAUGCAUGUUGACAAGCAUUAACGUAUGGAUAAUAAUGAUACAAUAACAAGAAGCCUUUAUUCCACUAGGCGGAGUCAGGUACAUAAAUUACACGACACCAUUGUGCUUUAUCAUUUACCAAAUUUUUAGAAAUUUUCCUAAGAGGUCACAGUUAAUAACUUCCAAAAGUGUUUUGUUUGGCCUUUCUUUGCUUUUCUUAACAGGGUUAAAGUUAUAUGUUUCACUCUCCUCACUGGUGCUUCUUGCAGUCUUCUUUGUACAUGUCCAAAUUAUUUCAAAUGAUUUUUUACUACUUUCCUCUCAAUAGGUGCAUGACUGAAGAGAAGGAGCAUGAAUACCACUUGGUAGGCGUGGUGGAGCACUCGGGGACAAUGAGAGGGGGUCACUAUGUUGCCUAUGUAAGAGGGGGUCAGAGGAACAAAGUGGCCGAUGAAAAGAAUGAG